rnacentral:rRNA from 1 species
UACGUAGGGUGCAAGCGUUGUCCGGAAUUAUUGGGCGUAAAGAGCGCGUAGGCGGUCCGGUAAGUCCGCUCUGAAAGUCCGGGGCUCAACCCCGGGAGGCGGGCGGAUACUGUCGGGCUAGAGUCCGGAAGAGGCGAGUGGAAUUCCUGGUGUAGCGGUGAAAUGCGCAGAUAUCAGGAGGAACACCAAUGGCGAAGGCAGCUCGCUGGGACGGUACUGACGCUGAGGCGCGAAAGCGUGGGGAGCAAACAGG